UACGUAGGGCGCAAGCGUUAUCCGGAAUUAUUGGGCGUAAAGAGCUCGUAGGCGGUUUGUCGCGUCUGCCGUGAAAGUCCGGGGCUCAACUCCGGAUCUGCGGUGGGUACGGGCAGACUAGAGUGCGGUAGGGGAGAUUGGAAUUCCUGGUGUAGCGGUGAAAUGCGCAGAUAUCAGGAGGAACACCGAUGGCGAAGGCAGGUCUCUGGGCCACUACUGACGCUGAGAAGCGAAAGCAUGGGGAGCGAACAGG
rnacentral:rRNA from 1 species